rnacentral:rRNA from 1 species
GACGAACGCUGGCGGCGUGCCUAACACAUGCAAGUCGAACGGAGAGGACAUGAAGUAUUUCGGUACGGAAUGCUCUCUUAGUGGCGAACGGGUGAGUAACACGUGGGCAACCUGCCCCAGACUGGGGGAUAACAUUGUGAAAACAGUGCUAAUACCGCAUGACAGGGUUCCGGGCAUCCGGGACCCUUGAAAGGAGAAAUCCGGUCAGGGAUGGGCCCGCGUCCAAUUAGCUAGUUGGCGGGGUAACGGCCCACCAAGGCGACGAUUGGUAGCCGAACUGAGAGGUUGAUCGGCCACAUUGGGACUGAGACACGGCCCAGACUCCUACGGGAGGCAGCAGUGGGGAAUAUUGGGCAAUGGGCGAAAGCCUGACCCAGCGACGCCGCGUGAAGGAUGAAGGUCUUCGGAUUGUAAACUUCUUUGAUCAGGGAGAAAGAAAUGACGGUACCUGAAAACAAGACCACGGCUAACUACGUG